UUCACAAGGAAUUAAUAAAAACACUAUAUUAAAAAUAUUUAUCUAGAAUAGAUUUCAAAGGGCUCAUAAACUUGGAUUCUUAUGUGAAAUUUAUCAUUUCCUUUUCAGGUAUAACUAAAAAUCAGUGGUGCCAGCAAUCUUGGUGACUGUCAUCAAAAGUAAUCAAGUAUUGUCAUUUCAUAUUAUGGUUGCAGAUACCUUGACAUGAUACGUAUGCCUUGUAAAAUUGCAACAGUUACAAGACUUGUUGCUUUGUCUUGUUGUUUGAUGGGUUAAAAGAGAAGCAUACUGACAAGUAUUUCAUCACGACCAAGAUGUCAAAUUCUCAGCUCACUCCCCAAGAACCUUGUCUGCCUGCAUGCUACAUGAUGAUAAUAGAUUAAACCUCUGAAACUGACUCAAUUCAAAGGCCGUGGCUUCUGAAGGGAAUCUCACCCACCUCCUCCAUCUAUUUUCUCACUGUAAGUAUAUGCACUUACUCUGGCUUUCACUUUUGUGUUAGCACACCAUGAUAUUAUAAGCUCCCAUUUCAUUUUCUGCCUCCUGUACUAUGAUCCCAAACAUAGAGGCAGUGAGGAUUUUCGUUCGUUUGUUUGUUUGUUUGUUUUUACCCAGGCAGCAUCUAGGACUGUGGUUGAGAAUUAAGAAGGCAUGCAAAAAUAUCUGUCAAUAGAAAUUUUUCACGACUUAAAAAAAAAUCCUACUGAGAAUUCUGGAGAAUACAGAUUAACUGAUUCCAAAACACCCCGUUCACUCCCCAUACUGUCUCUGCCUUUAAGGAGAGUACACAAGGAGGAGAUCGUUAAGGGGAAAACAGUUCUCAAGUUUUCUACUCCACUUCUAACACAACCACAAAGAGAGACCCAGCUGAAUUGACAAUGAAAAACACAGAUACUCUGAAACUCAACCCAGAUUUUUAUAUUUUGUAAAGGUCUUAACAAACAAAAGUAGGUGUUUCUCCUGGCCCCGUCAGAGAGCAGAAGGCACUGCUGGUCACACAUCAACUCUCCUAACUGGUCCUGACAGGUACACUCCCUUAAUAAGGGUUUCUAACUUAGCUGAUGCAUGUGCAGUUUUAAAAGCCUCAGGUCCCCAAGGACCAUUAGGAGGAAAACUCGCCCACCACAAGAUCUGUGUUUGCUGGAUGGACUUAUUGGCUGAUUGGCACUGGCAGUGCCGAGAGUGGCCACUGACCUGAUGUCGCGGCAGAUGGCAGUUGUGAGAAGCAUGUUUCACUAAAGGCAGGAGAAUGUGAAAGAACACAUAAUAGCAUAAGCUAUGUUUGAUAUGUGAUGGAUUUGUGUUCUGAGAGGCAACUAUCCGUACUACAUCUGCUGAUUCAGGCAACCCACACAAGAGACCAGACUCCAGUCAGAAUUCUUGGUCUAGACCUGUCCCGACUUCAGCUGCUAGAGCCAUUGAGAGCCUUUGCCGUCCAUGGUACAAGGAGGUUGGGGGCCUGAAAAGAACCAGCUGACAGAGAUGGCUGGGGAGGGAGUUUGAAAUAUUUUUGUGGUGAGGAGCAUUUAUUUUGUGUGUGCCUGCUUUGCGCUGAAAUCACCCUAGGUGCUCUGAGUAUUUCAUUAUUCAGCCUCUAUUUCCAUUUACCGAAGAGUUGUUGAGGUUUAAUGCAGUCCCUUGGCUUUUGGCUUUGAAAUAUUCAUGGGCCUUUAGCAAUUUCUUUCAUGCUCACCUUCUCCCCCAUUAGGGAGGAAACCUUAGAGGAAACAGAGGCGAGGAGCCAGCAUAGCAGAGUGUUUAUUUCUAGCGGACCUAAUGCUGAUCCCCCAUGGAGCAUGUCUACCUACCUCAACCUGAACAAAGGAAAGGGAAGAGGUCUGGGAAAGGGGAUUUCACUAUCUUUUCUCAGUUUUUAUUCCCCUGCUCCCUUAGAUGAAAGUCUAAAAGCUCAAAGGACAAUGAGAGAUUGCUCCUAGGAGGGACUAGGGGAAGGGCAGCUACUGAGAUAGCGUUAAACACCUCCACACUUAUCAAAACAGCUCCUUUUUGUUGCUACCUUUGGGGCCCAAUUCCACCUACUGACUGCUCUCAUGGUUUCUUGCUCUGUGUGAUCCAGCUCAUCUUUCUCAACCAUGUAAUAAUAAUAACCUCAUAGUAGCUCAUCAGAUCGUGAGCAGAUCUAAAAAUAAGCUCAUAGGUAAUUUAGGUUCUAAUUUACUAAAAUAAAACCUGUGUGCAUACAUAUAUAAACACAUAGUAAUUCCCUCAUAUAAAAUGGUGUAUUAUCUUCAUAUUAUCUCUGCACAUGUCUGUUGCUUACAAAGUCAAAAAUAAUGUGGAUUCUACGUAAAUAUGUAUAUAUCAUGCUGCUUAAGAAAUAACAACAAGAAUUGAAUGAAUAUCUAAACUUGUUCAGAACAGAUUUUCUUUUCCUUUUUAUGAUUUAUUUUUUAUUUUAUUUUAUGUGCAUUGGUGCUUUGCUGUACGUAUGUCUGUGUGAAGGUAUUGGGUCCCCUGGAACUAUAGAUAUAGACUGGAAUGAUAUACCAGCGUGAGGUGGGACUACCAAGUCCAUGGCAGGGAACAAACAUGCUAUCAGGCAGAACUUGCAUGAGAAAGAAGUUUAUUCACCAUGUGUCUCUGUCUAGAGUAUCCUCUUCUGGGGAAAUAUGUCUCCAAUAAUAAAAAUAAAUAUGUCUGUGUAUUUUCUAAAGUAAACUAUUUACUUUUUUUGAGUUUCAUUUCUCCAUCCACAAAAUGUAGAUAACUCUAAUAGUCUACCUACAAAGUUAAAUAAUAAACAUGGAAAUACUUUGUGAAUUAUAAGAUAUUAUUUAAAUAUAGGUGCAAAGUGAAUUGGUUCCAUGUUUUUACAUUAUCAUAAGUAAACAUUUAUAGUUUAAGUGGAGUAGGUAAAAAUUUAUUUAGGCAAAACUCUCUCUGACUCUGAAACCUAAAUUCUAGCCUUCUUUUGACUCUCACGCUAGAGAAAGUUUGAAAGUUCUCAACUUUAAUAUUGUUUUAAGCAAUCAAUGAGCAAAACACUUGUUUUUAUUUUUUUAAAUUUUUGGUUAACCCAGAUAGAAAUAGGUUUCACUGUAAUAUUUUCACAAUAUACACUUUCGAAACAUGUCUUUGAAUAAUUUUGGUUAGAUAAAUGGACAGAAUGGUAAUAUUUUUGGAUAUCCUUGAAUAGUCUCAAUUAGAUAAAUGAGUUACAAAUUAAGAGAAUAAACCAAAUAAAGUAGAAAGAUAUUGCUCCUUGUCUACUUAUGACAAUAACAAUAACACUAGAUGGAAGGGUUACUACGGGGAUCUAUCAAGCUGUCUGGCUAUUGUCCUACUUCUCCCUCUGCUGCUGGGCUAAAUACUAUGAUCAGUCUUGGGGAAGGAAGGCUAUGUCUCAUCUUACACUUUACAGUCCAUUACUAAGGGGAAGUCAGGCAGGAACUUAGGCAGAAAACUGAAACAGAGUCUAUGGAGGAACAGUGUCUACUCGCUUGCUUCCUCUGGAUAAUGCUAGCCAGUAUUCCUUUACAAUCCAGGACCACCCACAUUGGGCUGGGCCGGCCCUCCCACAUCAAUUAGCAACACCUAGGCCAAUCUGAUGGAGGCAAACCCUCAACUGGACAUUCCCUCGUUCUAAGUCUGUCAAGCAGAAACAAAAAUUGGGCAUCAUGGACAUAAAUAACAAAA